rnacentral:tRNA from 1 species
GCAGGUUGUAUGCGCUCCCCGAGGGUAAAACGUAAGUAGGUGUCCCUGCUACCA